GCCGCGUGUCGACAGCAGGUGGCGCUGUUGAUCUAUAAUCCACUGCAGAGAGAGCCUGAAUCAUACAACCAUGGUACCUGACCUUGUUUCAAUGUUGAAAUGCCGGCUGAGUUUUAAUGUGACGUGAAGGCAUAACAUGCAGUGUUUUACUGAUUAAAAUAUGUAAAAAAAACUGUGAGAUAAUCUGAUUUUGUGAAAGAUAAGUUUAUAUUUAUUCAUGUGAAUUGUAAAGAUGCGAGACUUGAAAGUAAAUCAUCACAGGGUUAGUUUAAGAAUAGUCUGCAGUAGUGUGAAACCAAGACUCUUAUUUUGAAAACUGAAAGGAGGAGCUGUGUGCGCGCCUGCGCCCUUACAUCUGCAGAGCUUUUGGUGUGAAGCUACACAGGUUUUUCCGCGUCAAAUUUUCCUUGUAUUUUGAAGAACUGUCGAAGCUUGAUGACGUCAGCAACCUGUCUGACAGAUGUAAAUCUUCUAAGUGGCUGUGCGUGAAAACUGCCAUCGUUAAUCUUGCAGAGACGGUGAGCUUGAGCGGGGAGUUCUUUGGCGUGAGUGAGCAGGAGUAAGUAUUCUGAUUAAUUAUUUUGUAUAGUAUUUUAAAAUGUAACGCCAGUUCGCCAUAUUAAGUUAAUUGCCUGCGAGCUUCUCCUCCUGUCUGUACGGUAAUGCGACAGAGAGUCGAGUGGUUAUGAUGCAAUCGUUAGCCUAUUUUUUACAAAAACUGUUUAUACGGGGCCAUAAUGUAACAUAGAAGGUAAUGGA